rnacentral:rRNA from 1 species
UACAGAGGUGGCAAGCGUUGUUCGGAAUUACUGGGCGUAAAGGGCGCGUAGGCGGCCUGCUAAGUCGAACGUGAAAUCCCCGGGCUCAACCCGGGGAACUGCGUCCGAUACUGGCGAUCUCGAGUCCGGGAGAGGUGAGUGGAACUGCGAGUGUAGAGGUGAAAUUCGUAGAUAUUCGCAAGAACACCAGUGGCGAAGGCGGCUCACUGGCCCGGUACUGACGCUGAGGUGCGAAAGCGUGGGGAGCAAACAGGGA